rnacentral:rRNA from 1 species
ACUGAGACACGGUCCAGACUCCUACGGGAGGCAGCAGUGGGGAAUCUUCCGCAAUGGGCGCAAGCCUGACGGAGCAACGCCGCGUGAGUGAAGAAGGGUUUCGACUCGUAAAGCUCUGUUGUCGGGGACGAAUGUCAGGACUCAAAAUAUGGGUUCUGAAUGACGGUACCUGACGAGGAAGCCACGGCUAACUACGUGCCAGCAGCCGCGGUAAUACGUAGGUGGCGAGCGUUGUCCGGAAUUAUUGGGCGUAAAGGGAGCGCAGGCGGGAAGGUAAGUCUAUCUUAAAAGUGCGGGGCUCAACCCCGUGAGGGGAUGGAAACUAUCUUUCUUGAGUGCAGGAGAGGAAAGCGGAAUUCCUAGUGUAGCGGUGAAAUGCGUAGAUAUUAGGAGGAACACCAGUGGCGAAGGCGGCUUUCUGGACUGUAACUGACGCUGAGGCUCGAAAGCGUGGGGAGCGAACAGGAUUAGAUACCCUGGUAGUCCACGCCGUAA